ACUAGUGUGGAUUCUGCUUCCCUCCACUUCAGGGUAGACUACGAGCAAGUCAAGCACCUUGGCAUCGACGAUGUCGUCUGCUCUGAGCUCUUCACCGUCGGCCAACACCAGUGGAGGAUUGACUGCUACCCGCGCGGACCGGUAGGGUACUCCAAGGAUGACAUGGGAAAUUAUGUUUCCAUCUACCUUAGGCACAUGAGUGAUUCCGGAAGGGUACGCGCCACCUUCAUCGCCUUGAUAAAGGAUAGAGAUGACAAGCCAUCAGAAAUACGAGUGAAAACUUACCUUCAUGAGUUCACAAUCAUGGGCGCCCCUGACUACCUCGAUGAGUGGGGAUGGAAUCGGUUUGUGGCAAGAAAGGACCUGGAGGAAACCUAUGUUAUUGAUGGGCACGUCACGUUCGUAUGCACCAUCAUGGUCACGCGUGAUACUACCCCUGUCACCGUGCCGCCAUCCGACAUCAAGAACCAUCUCGGCUCCUUACUGGAUCAGGCAUAUGGGACAGACGUGUCGUUUACCGUCCACGGCGAGACAUUCCCCGUGAACCGAGCUAUUCUUGCAGCCCGCUCACCUGUCUUCAAGGCAGAGCUUUUUGGGUCCAUGGCCGAAGCGACAAUGGCAUCCAUCACACUGCACGAUAUCACACCUUCAAUAUUCAAACGUAUGCUUCGGUUCAUAUACACGGAUGAGUUUCCUACUACAGAGGAUAACCCGUCCAAUGAGGUAUUAUUUGAUUUACUUGCCGCUGCAGAUCGGUACGCACUAGACCGGCUAAAGCUUAUGUGUGCCAAAAAGUUAUGGGAUAAUGUGUCAAUGGAUACAGUUACGGAUAUUCAAGCUUGCGCUGACAUGUACAAUUGCCUCGAGUUGAAGGACAAGUGCAUUGACUUUAUUGCAAAAGAGAAAAAAAACAAAGAAGUCUCU
rnacentral:rRNA from 1 species